GUGGAUUGAUGAGCUCAGUCUUAGUACUGCAUGUUUAGCUGAUGUCAUUCAGAGGUGCAGGGUGGAUUGAUGUGCUCAGUCUUAGUACUGCAUGUUUAGCUGAUGUCAUUCAGAGGUGCUGGGUGGAUUGAUGUGCUCAGUCUUAGUACUGCAUGUUUAGCUGAUGUCAUUCAGAGGUGCAGGGUGGAUUGAUGUGCUCAGUCUUAGUACUGCAUGUUUAGCUGAUGUCAUUCAGAGGUGCUGGGUGGAUUGAUGUGCUGAGUCUUAGUACUGCAUGUUUAGCUGAUGUCAUUCAGAGGUGCUGGGUGGAUUGAUGAGCUCAGUCUUAGUACUGCAUGUUUAGCUGAUGUCAUUCAGAGGUGCUGGGUGGAUUGAUGUGCUGAGUCUUAGUACUGCAUGUUUAGCUGAUGUCAUUCAGAGGUGCUGGGUGGAUUGAUGUGCUCAGUCUUAGUACUGCAUGUUUAGCUGAUGUCAUUCAGAGGUGCAGGGUGGAUUGAUGAGCUCAGUCUUAGUACUGCAUGUUUAGCUGAUGUCAUUCAGAGGUGCUGGGUGGAUUGAUGAGCUCAGUCUUAGUACUGCAUGUUUAGCUGAUGUCAUUCAGAGGUGCUGGGUGGAUUGAUGAGCUCAGUCUUAGUACUGCAUGUUUAGCUGAUGUCAUUCAGAGGUGCUGGGUGGAUUGAUGAGCUCAGUCUUAGUACUGCAUGUUUAGCUGAUGUCAUUCAGAGGUGCAGGGUGGAUUGAUGUGCUCAGUCUUAGUACUGCAUGUUUAGCUGAUGUCAUUCAGAGGUGCUGGGUGGAUUGAUGUGCUCAGUCUUAGUACUGCAUGUUUAGCUGAUGUCAUUCAGAGGUGCAGGGUGGAUUGAUGUGCUGAGUCUUAGUACUGCAUGUUUAGCUGAUGUCAUUCAGAGGUGCUGGGUGGAUUGAUGAGCUCAGUCUUAGUACUGCAUGUUUAGCUGAUGUCAUUCAGAGGUGCUGGGUGGAUUGAUGAGCUCAGUCUUAGUACUGCAUGUUUAGCUGAUGUCAUUCAGAGGUGCUGGGUGGAUUGAUGUGCUCAGUCUUAGUACUGCAUGUUUAGCUGAUGUCAUUCAGAGGUGCAGGGUGGAUUGAUGUGCUCAGUCUUAGUACUGCAUGUUUAGCUGAUGUCAUUCAGAGGUGCUGGGUGGAUUGAUGUGCUGAGUCUUAGUACUGCAUGUUUAGCUGAUGUCAUUCAGAGGUGCUGGGUGGAUUGAUGUGCUGAGUCUUAGUACUGCAUGUUUAGCUGAUGUCAUUCAGAGGUGCUGGGUGGAUUGAUGUGCUCAGUCUUAGUACUGCAUGUUUAGCUGAUGUCAUUCAGAGGUGCUGGGUGGAUUGAUGUGCUCAGUCUUAGUACUGCAUGUUUAGCUGAUGUCAUUCAGAGGUGCUGGGUGGAUUGAUGAGCUCAGUCUUAGUACUGCAUGUUUAGCUGAUGUCAUUCAGAGGUGCUGGGUGGAUUGAUGAGCUCAGUCUUAGUACUGCAUGUUUAGCUGAUGUCAUUCAGAGGUGCAGGGUGGAUUGAUGUGCUCAGUCUUAGUACUGCAUGUUUAGCUGAUGUCAUUCAGAGGUGCUGGGUGGAUUGAUGAGCUCAGUCUUAGUACUGCAUGUUUAGCUGAUGUCAUUCAGAGGUGCUGGGUGGAUUGAUGUGCUCAGUCUUAGUACUGCAUGUUUAGCUGAUGUCAUUCAGAGGUG